UUUACACAUUACACAUAAAUUAAUUUAAAAAAUAGUCAGUGUUGGGGGUGGAUAGUGGACAAUCACUUAUAAAUUGGCCUCCCCCUUGCUUAUAAAAUCUAUUUGUUGGGGAGGAUAGUGAUUCCGGAGCAUAAUUGCCGAUCAUUUAUAAAGUUGCCCCCCAAUUAUUUAUUAAACAAAUUAAUCUCGAGUAUCAAAAUAUGACUUUAUUGAUCGAACGACAAAAACGAAUUUAAAAUUACAACUAUCAUUUAAAUCACACAACACUUCAUGUGUUGACUUUUUCUACUCGCUGUCUUUGUGCAAAAAUGCUCGUUUUUUCUCAAGUUUCGUCACUCGUCUUGUUCAUUUUUGAUGAAAUGAUCAUGAUUCUCAAUUCUCAAUUUUAUCGGGUUAUAAUGAUUAUUUGGUACUCAUCACAAAUGUUAACCAAUAUUUCGGGUUUGUCUCAUUUUAUGAUAUUUCACUAACUUUCAAUUUCUAGUUUUACUGAUUUCUCAUUGACAUGAGAAAAAUCCAUAGCUAUUUGGUAAGUUUGGAUAUUGUAUACUUGAUAACGCUUUGUUUUUCCAGAUUUAUUUCUGAAAUUCGAUUUUUCAUCAUGUUUGUUAUUGAUUUGGCGGUUUCUGUCUUCAGUGGCAUCAGAUUCAAGAAAUGCUCGGUAAUGUUCAACUUUAAGUUAGGAAUAGGAUAGGAUAGGCUAGGUUUAGGAACAUGAUCUGAGCUUUUUCCUAUUGGAUUUGAUGCUAGUUGAAGUUUUGAAACCAAUGAAGCAAUUGACAAACAUGAUUAAUUUUCGAAGAUUCACGAAAUGAAACACAUAGUUGAAACUGAUAAUGGAUCACCGGCGAACAUUUUGGAAAUUGAAUUGAUCAUGAUUCAUUUUGGAAAAGGAAAACUGAAUGCCCAUUACGAUAGAUUUUUAUUUACAUGAUCGACAACUAGUCUUGGAUCAUAAAGAUUGGAUUGGCGGACAUAUGCUCAUGGUCAUUGGUUAAUUUAUAAAUGGAUCACUAUGGACAAGACAAAAAUUGGAUCAUGUUUAAUUUGUUUUUUUAAUUAUUGUCAUUGCUUUAUUAAUUUACUAUACUAUAUUGCGUUAAUUAAUAUUAAUUUUGAAUAACAUUUUUUAAUCCUAAUAUGGGGGUCAAAUUAAUGAAGUGAAUGGGGCAAAAUGAAUUCAAGUUUGCAGGGUAAACUGCAAAAUUGAAUUUUUUGAAACCCUGCAGUGUACACCGGAGACUUUCGUCUCUGUGUACUCAUGGAGAAAUUAAAUGAAAAAAAAACUUUUUCGGGAA